rnacentral:rRNA from 1 species
GUCUACGGCCAUACCACCCUGAAUGCGCCCAAUCUCAUCUGAUCUCAGAAGCUAAGCAGGGUCGGGCUUGGUUAGUACUUGGAUGACUUCCUCCCUUUAUUGUUAAUAGAGUAAAUUACACUGAUUUGCUUUACACU